UCUCCGUAGGUGAACCUGCGGAGGGAUCACUACAGGCGUGAAAAAGCUCUGAAACCACUGUUUAUCUACCUGAAUCUGCUCCGGCGGUCGGCCCCAGGGCCGGGCCGUAGCCGCAAGGCGCCCGCCGAAGACCCCUAAACUCUGUCGUCUUGAGAAUCUCUGAGUAAUUAUUUUAAACAAAAACAACUUUCAACAACGGAUCUCUUGGCUCUG
rnacentral:misc_RNA from 1 species